AUGAACGCUGGCGGCAUGCCUAAUACAUGCAAGUCGAGCGAACAGACGAGGAGCUUGCUCCUCUGACGUUAGCGGCGGACGGGUGAGUAACACGUGGAUAACCUACCUAUAAGACUGGGAUAACUUCGGGAAACCGGAGCUAAUACCGGAUAAUAUAUUGAACCGCAUGGUUCAAUAGUGAAAGACGGUUUUGCUGUCACUUAUAGAUGGAUCCGCGCCGCAUUAGCUAGUUGGUAAGGUAACGGCUUACCAAGGCAACGAUGCGCAGCCGACCUGAGAGGGUGAUCGGCCACACUGGAACUGAGACACGGUCCAGACUCCUACGGGAGGCAGCAGUAGGGAAUCUUCCGCAAUGGGCGAAAGCCUGACGGAGCAACGCCGCGUGAGUGAUGAAGGUCUUCGGAUCGUAAAACUCUGUUAUUAGGGAAGAACAAAUGUGUAAGUAACUAUGCACGUCUUGACGGUACCUAAUCAGAAAGCCACGGCUAACUACGUG
rnacentral:rRNA from 1 species